UUGAAGACCAUUUCACGACUCACUGCCAGUUGUUUUGGGACACAGUUGCUAUCUGAGAGUGAGUUACAUGAAUCUUUUAAACACAGUAAGGACAAGUAACUGGUUUGCUUUUGGCAAAGCUUAAUCAUUUAUUACAGAUGACAGAAGUGAAACUAGUGAGGCUCCUCAGUGUUGCUUCUGUUCUUUAGGUUUGCCUUUGGCAAGUAUAUCAAAGGUUAAUUUUAAUUAAUCCUUUGGAAUUUUAAUUUCCCUUAAAGGUACUACCAGUUGAUUAGAAAAUGGUACUAUCGGGUGUUAACGCUGCUUGUUUCACACACAAAACAUGUCUGGCAAACAAUACUGGGAACGGAGCCAAGAAAUGUCACUUCUCUCACUUUAUGCUUCCAUAAUAAGUCUCCAUCCCCACAUGCUUUCCCUGGUUCCAUCCUCUGACUAAUCCGCCCACUCCAAAUCUUUCCUGUUUACACUGUGGAAGAAUGGUAUUUUUAAAAAACAUGCCUUAGCAAAACAACCCAACAGAGCUUUGAGCAUAGGGACACAUAAUAAAUGUCAUUUUGAAAAUCUUUUGGAGUGGAUAUUCUUUUAUGAAUGUCGUAGAUCAUGGAAAGAAAUAACUCAAAGCUAAACCCAGCAACUGACUUUCCAUUAUGAAAUUGCUACUCUCAGAGAUCUGGAACUCGGGUGUAAGAUUUAAACGCUUGAAGAUUUUACCUUAACUAACAUACAGGUUAUUGAAUCCUAGGUUACACUGAAGCAUUACCAACACUUCAGAAAAGCUGGUCCUGAUUCGUCAGAACCUUUGACUUAGUUUGUGGAAUUGAUCCUCCCCCAAUCUAGAUUACUGAACU
rnacentral:lncRNA from 1 species